GGUCAGUGAUGUCUGUCAUGGCAUGUAUUAGCUGAAUGCCAACAUGAUGCUUUUCAGAGACUCUGAGACCUU